rnacentral:miRNA from 15 species
CUCGUAGCUUGGUCACGAUAUC